GCUCACAAUCUUUUGACUUCUUUUCUACAGAUUUCUAGUCAAAGAGUUUGGCUCAGCUCUUACCUCGACAUCUCAUUCUGGUCAUCCAGCUCUUGGUUUUUGUCUGUUUGUCAGUUAAUUCAAUUUAAAUGCUGGUCGAAUCAGAGUUGACAAGUUCUGCCCAUCUCAAUGCAACCCAGCAGGCGAAACCACAGCGGCGCUUGGGGAUGACGUCACGCUCGAAACUCCAGCUUCCUGAAUGAUCUCACUGCUAAAGCACAAAGUGCAUUGGGAAACGAGACGAAGAUUUCGACGAGGAUGUUCUCCAGUUCCCCCUACGGAUUGGAGGUCUAACAGUCAGAGCUGUAUCCCUGUUCAGAUGUGGCCAAGAGUAGCAAUGUCCAGGAGACCUGUGAAACCUCAGUGAGAUACAGGACAGCAGGAUCCCAACCGCGGACUUUGUACCAGUCGUUUCCCCCCCACCUGAACAGGGGUGCUGAUCAUUCUUCAUAGACCUUUGGGAAACGCAGUUCAGUCAAGGAUUUCCAUCUUGCACCUCUCCCCUUGUUCUAUAUUGUUUGAUUAACCACAUCUCUGGCAUAAUUCUAAAUAUAAUGCAGCUUUAGGAUUUUUCUCGACAUUUGCUAUAUCAUUACUGCUGUAUUUGUAAACCCCCUACUUUUGAUAACUGACAUUGCUAAAGGACUCAUUUAGCAAUGUCUGGGCAAGAAACCUUCAAUUUUAUAAACAAAUUCAAAUAAAGAAAGUAAAUGUCUCACCGUAUGUAAAAACAGAUAUAUUAACAGUGAGAGAGCUCUAGUUUCAAACCCUCAUAGAGGUAGAGAUAAGCUUAGUGACCGAAUUUGACUACAAGACGACCUUCUGAAACUUUCCUGUCAGCAGAUAAAAUUUGUGGUAGAACUUCCUUUUUGUCAGAUCAACUCAAGCUGUUUUUAAAAACAAUUUUAGAACAAUGUGACAGUAUAGCACAGGGACUGGGAGUCCUUCACUGUAGGCCGGUUUGCUCCCUCUGAACAUCAUCUGGACAGUCAUGGACAGUCCAGGGUCAAAAGUCCAUCCCCCACCGGUCUGCCCCCUCCUCUUUCUCUGCCCCAUUCUCUAAAGGUUCUCUUUUGUCUAUCCCUCUACCUUCUGUAUUUCAUUAUUCUCUAAUACUGUUUCCUGCAAUAAAUGUUUUUAACCCAAG
rnacentral:lncRNA from 1 species